rnacentral:tRNA from 1 species
UCCACAAUAGCUCAGCGGUAGAGCAGUAGACUGUUAAUCUAUUGGUCGUAGGUUCGAUCCCUACUUGUGGAGCCA